rnacentral:tRNA from 1 species
GCCGGUGCUGCCGCUGUGGCCGGCGCUGUCGGUGCUGGUGGGGCUGGUGCCGGCGUUCGUGGCGCCGGUGCCGGCGC